UGUAGUAUCGAAAUCAGUUCAUGAUGCCCAAU
rnacentral:piRNA from 1 species